AUGCCACCAUGGUGGGGAAGGUCUUCAUCCAAAGAAGUAAAGAAGUCGGCCACAGAAAAUCUAAUUGACACAUUUCAGCGGUUCAUAAGUCCAAGUGAGCAAAAGGGGAGCACAAAAUCACGAGGGGGUCGCAGACGUGGUAAAGACCAAACUGCUGAGAAACGUUGCUGGUCUACUGCCCACUCACGCUCCACAUCCCCUUCAAAAGAGGUUUCUCGCUGUCAAAGCUUUGCAACAGAUAGAGCACAUGCACAACCACUCCCUCUUCCUAGAUCACGUGCUGGGGUGAGACGUAUUGUAUCUGAUAAUCCCGACUCAAAGCCCAUUUUGGAGAAGAGUGGUACAGGACAUCAACUACCACUGCCAGCCCUGAACCGGCUUGCAAAUGCUUCUGUCUCCAGCAACAGUUCUAUUGACAGUGAUGAUCGUGCAGAUUCUCAACUUCAGAGCCCCGCAGGAAACGAGGUGACCAAUGUUACAGCACCGAGUAGUUCAAGCGGUGUGCGUAAAGAGUGUUCAGGUGCUACCACCAGAAGGAGCACCAAGGAAGUGACAAAGCCAAGAAAUGCUUUUCCUAGUAACCAAAUUCUGUCUACAUCUCCAAGUGGUGCUGUCACUGACAGUUACCAACCUAGUUUGCAAAAUUCACGACAAGUUGCUCUUGAGAGUGCUCCAAAUAGUUUGAUGUCAAGCCCUUCUCAAAGCCCAAGAACAAUAUUUCCUGACCAGAUUCCAACAUCAGCUUUUUGGGCGGUUAAGCCUCAGCCAGACGUAGUUUUCCUUGGGUCUGGUCAGUGCUCCAGUCCAGGCUCAGGGCAAACAUCUGGGCAUAAUUCAGUGGGAGGUGAUAUGCUAGCUCAGUUCUUUUGGCAGCCUAGCCGAGGUAGUCCAGAGUGUUCACCAAUUCCAAGCCCAAGAAUGACGAGUCCUGGUCCAAGUUCAAGGGUGCAUAGCGGAAGUGUGUCUCCGUUGCAUCCAAGGGCUGGUGGGAUUGUACCUGAAUCUCCAACUAGCCGGCGUGAUGAGGGGAAGAAAAGGCAAACCCACCGAUUGCCUCUUCCACCAUUAAGCAUCUCUAACAGUUCCCCAUUUUUACCGAACAACUCCGCACCAACAAGUCCUAUAUCUCGUAGUCCUGGUAGAUCAGAGAAUCCACCCAGUCCUGGACCACGGUGGAAGAAGGGAAAGCUGAUUGGGCGUGGCACAUUCGGCCAUGUAUAUGCUGGCUUCAACAGUGAUAGAGGCCAAAUGUGUGCAAUGAAGGAGGUUACCCUUUUCUCAGAUGAUCCCAAGUCAAAAGAAAGUGCAAAACAGUUGGGCCAGGAAAUAUCACUUCUGAGCCGUCUGCAACAUCCAAAUAUUGUACGAUACUAUGGAUCUGAAACGGUUGAAGAUAAGCUUUAUAUAUACCUGGAGUUUGUGUCCGGUGGAUCCAUCCACAAACUUCUCCAGGAGUAUGGACAGUUUGGUGAACAAGCAAUUCGGAAUUAUACUAAGCAAAUACUUUUGGGCUUAGCUUUUUUGCACGCGACGAAUACAGUUCACAGGGAUAUUAAAGGUGCAAACAUAUUAGUAGACCCUAAAGGCCGCGUAAAGCUUGCUGACUUCGGAAUGGCGAAACACAUCAAUGGGCAGCAGUGUCCUUUCUCACUUAAGGGUAGCCCAUACUGGAUGGCUCCUGAGGUUAUAAAGAAUUCGAGCGGAUGCAACCUUGCUGUUGACAUAUGGAGUUUAGGAUGCACAGUUCUAGAGAUGGCUACCUCAAAACCUCCAUGGAGCGAAUAUGAAGGGAUUGCUGCAAUGUUCAAGAUAGGUAACAGCAAGGAGCUUCCACCAAUACCGGACCACCUUUCUGAAGAGGGCAAGGAUUUCAUACGUCAGUGCCUGCAACGUGAUCCAUCUAGCCGUCCAACAGCUGUGGAUCUUUUGCAGCAUUCAUUUGUACGAAGUGCAUCACCACUUGAAAGACCAGCUGCCUCUGUUCCAUUGGAACAGUUGGCUGCUAUAUCUUGCAAACCAAUUUCUAAGGUGGUUGGGCAGGCCAAAAAUAUGCCCUCUUUGGGCUUGGAAGGGCAAUCCAUUUACCAAAGAAGAGCUGCCAAGUUUUCUUCAACAAACAGUGGGAUUCAUAUUUGGAGUAAUACAUCUUGCCCAGUUUCUCCGUGUGGAAGCCCUCUUCUAAGGUCAAGAUCCCCACAACAUCAAAAUGGUAGAAUGUCACCAUCUCCAAUUUCUAGCCCCAGAGCUACUUCUGGUGCUUCCAGUCCUGUGGGAGGUGUCCAUGGAGCUAUUCCGUUUAGCCAUGCCAGACAACCAGCUUACAGCAAUGAGGGAUUCACAAUUGCACCGAGAGGCCUUGAUAAAAACUUGCCUACCAGGCCUCCGGAUCCGGUCCUUGGUCAUUUUGGUAGAGCGCAGCAAUUCUCGACAGGCACUCAGGAGAGGGUGAUCUCUGAAUGUGACAUUCUGAGACCUCAGACUGGAAAAAUGAGACGGCUCAAUGUGCAAGAUUUGAAUGCUACCACAUUGCCUUCCAAGCAUGUUUCUCAGCAUGGCUCUGGGAGUCACGUGAGGCUAAAACCUUCACUGGACUUGACAUCUGGUAAUCAGCGCCUUGUGCGCAACCAUGGUCAUUGA
rnacentral:rRNA from 1 species